GUGACUGCGUACCUUUUGUAUAAUGGGUCAGCGACUUAUAUUCUGUAGCAAGGUUAACCGAAUAGGGGAGCCGAAGGGAAACCGAGUCUUAACUGGGCGUUAAGUUGCAGGGUAUAGACCCGAAACCCGGUGAUCUAGCCAUGGGCAGGUUGAAGGUUGGGUAACACUAACUGGAGGACCGAACCGACUAAUGUUGAAAAAUUAGCGGAUGACUUGUGGCUGGGGGUGAAAGGCCAAUCAAACCGGGAGAUAGCUGGUUCUCCCCGAAAGCUAUUUAGGUAGCGCCUCGUGAAUUCAUCUCCGGGGGUAGAGCACUGUUUCGGCAAGGGGGUCAUCCCGACUUACCAACCCGAUGCAAACUGCGAAUACCGGAGAAUGUUAUCACGGGAGACACACGGCGGGUGCUAACGUCCGUCGUGAAGAGGGAAACAACCCAGACCGCCAGCUAAGGUCCCAAAGUCAUGGUUAAGUGGGAAACGAUGUGGGAAGGCCCAGACAGCCAGGAUGUUGGCUUAGAAGCAGCCAUCAUUUAAAGAAAGCGUAAUAGCUCACUGGUCGAGUCGGCCUGCGCGGAAGAUGUAACGGGGCUAAACCAUGCACCGAAGCUGCGGCAGCGACACUAUGUGUUGUUGGGUAGGGGAGCGUUCUGUAAGCCUGUGAAGGUG
rnacentral:rRNA from 2 species